CAGAGAACCAAAGCAAAAUCCAGAUUUAAAAUCCGUAAAUCACGAUGAAUCCGAAUAAGUCGCCACAAGUAUUCCAUUAAUUCCCAAUUUGCAUGAAUUUGGACGAAGAAACAAACUCAUUUGAAUGACGAACUCUGGUGGAUUUGUAUAUGACGUUUGAAGACCUUAUACUCAUGCAAGUAUAACCACUUCUAUAGAAAUGAUCUUGUUUGUUUGUUCCGACGUAUUCGUCGAAACAAAAGUUCAGCGGAAUACGUAUUUAUUGUAACUGUAGUUUUACACAGAUAUACUCGCAGUUUAAUCAUUAGUUUUGAACGAACUAAUUAGAGGGAUUCUCACGACGAGAUAUUCUCGAUAGUUUGCCAUUGCCUUUUGAGAGGUGCAAUCGAAUAAAAUCUGCAGAUGUUUCUAUUUGAA